rnacentral:rRNA from 1 species
UACAGAGGGUGCAAACGUUGCUCGGAAUUACUGGGCGUAAAGCGCGUGUAGGCGGGCCGAUAAGUCAGACGUGAAAUCCCUGAGCUCAACUCAGGAACUGCAUCUGAAACUGCCGGUCUAGAGUGGUGGAGAGGGAAGCGGAAUUCCUGGUGUAGAGGUGAAAUUCGUAGAUAUCAGGAAGAACACCCGUGGCGAAAGCGGCUCUCUGGAACGGUACUGACGCUGAGACGCGAAAGCGUGGGGAGCAAACAGG